CCUACGGGUGGCAGCAGUGAGGGAUAUUGCACAAUGGAGGGAACCCUGAUGCAGCGACGCCGCGUGAGUGAAGACGCGCCUCGGCGCGUACAGCCCUGUCAGCAGGGAAGAAAAUGACGGUACCUGAAGAAUAAGCCCCGGCUAACUCAGUGCCGGCCGCCGCGGUCAUACGUAGGGGGCGCGCGUUAUCCGGAUUUACUGGGUGUAUCGGGGGCGCAGACGGCGAUGCAAGCCAGGAGUGAACGCCCGGGGCCCAACCCCGGGACUGCUCUUGGAACUGCGUGGCGGGAGUGCAGUAGGGGCAGGCGGAAGUCCUGGUGUAGCGGUGAAAUGCGUAGAUAUCAGGAGGAACACCGGUGGCGAAGGCGGCCUGCUGGACUGCAACUGACGUUGAGGCCCGAAAGCGUGGGGAGCAAACAGGAUUAGAUACCCGUGUAGUC
rnacentral:rRNA from 1 species